UGCGCAUCACCUCUUGCUUGUCUAGAUCAGCCCGGACGUUGGCAUGUGUAGCGUAUUUUGUCGGGUUUCGAGAUCAAGAAUCGAUGUCCCUUUGUUGGUUGGUUUUCCGAGAAUCCUUGACCCUUGAUUUGUUGCUUUCGCAUUGUUCGGUGCAUGUUUUUCGAGAAUCCUUGACCCUUGAUUUGUUGCUUUCGCAUCGUUCGGUGCAUGUUUUCCGAGAAUCCUUGACCCUUGAUUUGUUACUUUCGCAUCGUUCGGUGCAUUCUGGGGGAUGUUUUGGCUUUUGGUGGCUUACUUGGCCUUUUGGCUGGGUUUGUUGCUAUUGGUCGGGCGGCUUUCGGGAAUGUCGACCGUGGAGGUGCAUGAGUGGUGUUUGGUUUGUUACGUGUGGAUGGCUGUUUGCUUGCGCAACAACGUUCACGCUGCAUACCUCUUCAGUUUUGCGGCAAGGCUUGGUUUGGCUUGUGCAUAUUGUGGGUUUCCUGUGUUGCAUACCUAGUUGAAGGAAAAGUGUGGGUUUUACGAUUUUCAUUUUCGUCUUGCGUCGUUCUUUCGGCAUGGGAUGAGCAAUGAAGCGAUCUUUAUGAUCCAUCGUGCUGUUGUGUUUGCAACAAUGAUGUGGCCUAUGAAGCAUCGUUUGGUCUCUUGUAUACGGAAGCUCAUUUGGGCUUGGGUCUUCAUAAGAUCUUCGUUAUGCCCUUGUUAAGCGUUCUCGCUUCUCCUAAACGAUUG
rnacentral:misc_RNA from 1 species